rnacentral:rRNA from 1 species
GAUGAACGCUGGCGGCGUGCCUAAUACAUGCGAGUCGAGCGAACAGACGAGGAGCUUGCUCCUCUGACGUUAGCGGCGGACGGGUGAGUAACACGUGGAUAACCUACCUAUAAGACUGGGAUAACUUCGGGAAACCGGAGCUAAUACCGGAUAAUAUAUUGAACCGCAUGGUUCAAUAGUGAAAGACGGUUUUGCUGUCACUUAUAGAUGGAUCCGCGCCGCAUUAGCUAGUUGGUAAGGUAACGGCUUACCAAGGCGACGAUGCGUAGCCGACCUGAGAGGGUGAUCGGCCACACUGGAACUGAGACACGGUCCAGACUCCUACGGGAGGCAGCAGUAGGGAAUCUUCCGCAAUGGGCGAAAGCCUGACGGAGCAACGCCGCGUGAGUGAUGAAGGUCUUCGGAUCGUAAAACUCUGUUAUUAGGAAAGAACAAAUGUGUAAGUAACUAUGCACGUCUUGACGGUACCUAAUCAGAAAGCCACGGCUAACUACGUG